GAUGAAGAACGUAGCGAAAUGCGAUAAGUAAUGUGAAUUGCAGAAUUCAGUAAAUCAUCGAAUCUUUGAACGCACAUUGCGCCCGCCAGCAUUCUGGCGGGCAUGCCUGUUCGAGCGUCAUUUCAACCCUCGACUUCCCUUUGGGGAAAUCGGCGUUGGGGACCGGCCGUAUACCGCCGGCCCCGAAAUGAAGUGGCGGCCCGUCCGCGGCGACCUCUGCGUAGUAAUCCAACUCGCACCGGAACCCCGACGUGGCCACGCCGUAAAACCCCCGACUUCUGAACGUUGACCUCGGAUCAGGUAGGAAUACCCGCUGAACUUAAGCAUAUCAAUAAGCGGAGGA
rnacentral:misc_RNA from 1 species